UACAGAGGUGGCAAGCGUUUGUUCGGAAUUACUGGGCGUAAAGGCGCGUAGGCGGCCUUCUAAGUCAGACGUGAAAUCCCCCGGCUUAACCUGGGGACUGCGUCUGAUACUGGAGGGCUUGAGUGCGGGAGAGGGAUGUGGAAUUCCAGGUGUAGCGGUGAAAUGCGUAGAUAUCUGGAGGAACACCGGUGGCGAAGGCGGCAUCCUGGACCGACACUGACGCUGAGGCGCGAAAGCUAGGGUAGCAAACGGGG
rnacentral:rRNA from 1 species